rnacentral:rRNA from 1 species
AUUGAACGCUGGCGGCAGGCCUAACACAUGCAAGUCGAGCGAGCGGCGGACGGGUGAGUAAUGUAUGGGGAUCUGCCUGAUGGCGGGGGAUAACUACUGGAAACGGUAGCUAAUACCGCAUACCAUCAGAUGAACCCAUAUGGGAUUAGCUAGUAGGUGAGGUAACGGCUUACCUAGGCGACGAUCCCUAGCUGGUCUGAGAGGAUGAACAGCCACACUGGAACGUAGACACGGCCCAGACUCCUACGGGAGGCAGCAGUGGGGAAUAUUGCACAAUGGGCGCAAGCCUGAUGCAGCCAUGCCGCGUGUAUGAAGAAGGCCUUCGGGUUGUAAAGUACUUUCAGUCGGGAGGCGUUACCGACAGAAGAAGCACCGGCUAACUCCGUGCCAGCCGCCGCGGUAAUUC